CCCAUCCAGAGGCUGAAUGGCCAGGCACAGAUCUGUUACCAUACCUAGACAACUCAUCUGAUACAACACUACAGAAUUAAAAUCAAAGGCUUACAUUGAUUUUCUAGAAAGAGAAAAGCUAGGUAAAGAUGCAUUUUCCCCCCACACCAAGGAGAAGCACAGUCACUUCUUUGCCAUGGAUUCUAUUAUCUUCUUGCCUGAAGAGCUUAGAUCUAUUCAACUGUGAAAUAACUUGUCCCCAUAUUAUGCAACCUUGAUAAUUCUCUGUUUGGCAUUACUCACAGAUGCUCAGGAUGGGAGCAUCUACAAAGGAAGGAGGUGUGAUCCCACCAGAACUCCUCCAUCACCUUAGAGAAAGCCAGGAAAGCAGAUGAGUUGAGAUUGCUGCUAGAGGAUAUGGUUUCUAUUAGUGUUUUCCUCAGCGGAGAAUGUAUAAAUAACUCACUCAUGGACUGGUACAAUCUGUCGGGGGGGCAGCAGUUAUAUAAAUACGUUCCUCCUGUUUCUCUCUCACCAAAAAUAACCCAUUUCUACUACAGCUGCAUACAAAAAAAUAGGACCUGGAUAAAUAAAGGACAGCAAUGUGAGAGCAUGCUGAACGGCUGCGUCCCUGCACCCAGAGACUCCAGCAAUAACGAUGACCUCUUCAGGACCAUAGAGAUACUGCUUAGCAUCUUAGAUAUAGAAGCCUGCAUUGGAGAGAGUCUGCAGUGCUUUCCCUGGUAG
rnacentral:lncRNA from 1 species